CGAUGAUUUUUCUUCUCCUAUGGUCUGCCUUUUAUAGCUGAAUUUCUGAGCGGAUCUGAAAUGCGGACUUCAAAAUUUUUUGAAAACUUUGUCUUCUAGCCUUGUAGGGUUCUUCAUUGGGCCCCAUCUUCACAUGGCUGGUGCAGAGAUUCCAUUUUAUGUCGUCCACGUUUUUCUCACUUACUUGUCUUUAUAUCACGUCUGUUACAUCUGGCCCCACUUGUUGUCUC
rnacentral:lncRNA from 1 species